GACGAACGCUGGCGGCGUGCUUAACACAUGCAAGUCGAACGGUAAGGCCCUUCGGGGUACACGAGUGGCGAACGGGUGAGUAACACGUGGGUGAUCUGCCCUGCACUUCGGGAUAAGCCUGGGAAACUGGGUCUAAUACCGGAUAGGACCCUGGGAUGCAUGUCCUGGGGUGGAAAGCUUUUGCGGUGUGGGAUGGGCCCGCGGCCUAUCAGCUUGUUGGUGGGGUGAUGGCCUACCAAGGCGACGACGGGUAGCCGGCCUGAGAGGGUGACCGGCCGCACUGGGACUGCGAUACGGCCCAGACUCCUACGGGAGGCAGCAGUGGGGAAUAUUGUACAAUGGGCGCAAGCCUGAUGCAGCGACGCCGCGUGAGGGAUGACGGCCUUCGGGUUGUAAACCUCUUUCAGCACCGACGAAGCGCAAGUGACGGUAGAUGCAGAAGAAGGACCGGCCAACUACGUGCCAGCCGCCGCGGUAA
rnacentral:rRNA from 1 species